UCCAGAGGGUGCAAGCGUUAAUCGGAAUUACUGGGCGUAAAGCGUGCGUAGACGGUCAUGUAAGUCGGGUGUGAAAGCCCCGGGCUCAACCUGGGAAUUGCAUUCGAGACUGCAUGGCUAGGAUGCGGAAGAGGGAAGCGGAAUUUCCGGUGUAGCGGUGAAAUGCGUAGAUAUCGGGAGGAAGGCCGGUGGCGAAGGCGGCGCUCUGGAACAUUUCUGACGCUGAGGCUCGAAAGCGUGGGGAGCAAACAGG
rnacentral:rRNA from 1 species